rnacentral:rRNA from 1 species
GGUGAACGCUAGCGGCAGGCUUAACACAUGCAAGUCGAGGGGUAGAGUUAGCUUGCUAACUUGAGACCGGCGCACGGGUGCGUAACGCGUAUGCAAUCUACCUUGUACAGAGGGAUAGCCCAGAGAAAUUUGGAUUAAUACCUCAUAGUAUUAUUGAAUGGCAUCAUUUGAUUAUUAAAGUUCCAACGGUACAAGAUGAGCAUGCGUCCCAUUAGCUAGAUGGUAAGGUAACGGCUUACCAUGGCAACGAUGGGUAGGGGUCCUGAGAGGGAGUUCCCCCACACUGGUACUGAGACACGGACCAGACUCCUACGGGAGGCAGCAGUGAGGAAUAUUGGUCAAUGGGCGCAAGCCUGAACCAGCCAUGCCGCGUGCAGGAAGACGGUCCUAUGGAUUGUAAACUGCUUUUAUACGGGAAGAAACCCUGCUACGUGUAGCAGCUUGACGGUACCGUAAGAAUAAGCAUCGGCUAACUCCGUGCCAGUCGCCGCAGUAA